rnacentral:rRNA from 1 species
GUCGAGGGGUAUAGUUCUUCGGAGCUAGAGACCGGCGCACGGGUGCGUAACGCGUAUGCGAUCUACCUUUCACAGAGGGAUAGCCCAGAGAAAUUUGGAUUAAUACCUCAUAGUAUAGCAGUUUCGCAUGAAACCACUAUUAAAGUCACAACGGUGAAAGAUGAGCAUGCGUCCCAUUAGCUAGUUGGUAAGGUAACGGCUUACCAAGGCUACGAUGGGUAGGGGUCCUGAGAGGGAGAUCCCCCACACUGGUACUGAGACACGGACCAGACUCCUACGGGAGGCAGCAGUGAGGAAUAUUGGUCAAUGGGCGCAAGCCUGAACCAGCCAUGCCGCGUGCAGGAUGACGGUCCUAUGGAUUGUAAACUGCUUUUGCACAGGAAGAAACAACGCUACGUGUAGCGUCUUGACGGUACUGUGAGAAUAAGGAUCGGCUAACUCCGUGCCAGCAGCCGCGGUAAUACGGAGGAUCCAAGCGUUAUCCGGAAUCAUUGGGUUUAAAGGGUCCGUAGGCGGUUUAGUAAGUCAGUGGUGAAAGCCCAUCGCUCAACGGUGGAACGGCCAUUGAUACUGCUAGACUUGAAUUAUAAGGAAGUAACUAGAAUAUGUAGUGUAGCGGUGAAAUGCUUAGAGAUUACAUGGAAUACCAAUUGCGAAGGCAGGUUACUACUUAUGGAUUGACGCUGAUGGACGAAAGCGUGGGUAGCGAACAGGAUUAGAUACCCUGGUAGUCCACGCCGUAAACGAUGGAUACUAGCUGUUGGAAGCAAUUUCAGUGGCUAAGCGAAAGUGAUAAGUAUCC